UCAAAAGUUUGCUUCACCUAAGAAGGUAGCCAGAGGCCUUAUGAAACAGUGCUUUUUGGUUUUUUCAGAGGUUACUUAGAGCGUUGGCGAGUCACAUUCAGAUGAGUGGCCUGCACUUGCCAGAUAGAGGUGAUUGCUAGGAGAGUCUGGAGCAGGGAAGGGAAGGGCAGUUUGGCCUGGGGACAGGAGUGAGAUAGGAGACUCAGGAGAUGUGCUAGGUGAGCUUAUAUGGUGGCUCCAAGCUGUACUCUAGAAGAGAGGUCCUUUCUCUCCUAUAGGCAAGAGUGACCCACCUUUACUGUCACCUCACUAGCAUGAUGUGCUGUCUAAGGAAGGAGAAGGGGGACCACAGUCAGUGGUUCUCUAACUAGAUUAGGUCUGGAGAGGACAAAAUUGAGGUCUACAAUGUUAGGUUAAUUUGAUGGACUAAAUUGCUUCAGACAAAGCCCUAUCCUACUUGAUUCUAAAACGUUAAGCUUCCCUGCUGAAGUUUCUUGCUCCCACUGGAUGUUUUCAACAAGUAUAAGUUAUUUCUCAGUUAUAAGCCAUACUAACAGCUCUUUUUCCUCAAACACUGAAAGGGACCUAUCUUUUCUUUCUUGAAUCCAAGAGACAGGUGGAGGAAAGAAGACACAAUGGAAUGAGUGGGAACAUUAAGGAGGAAAAAGCAUGCAAGUGUUCUCAUGCUUCCUGAAAAUAGCAGGCAUAGGAAGACCAGGAUCAGAAACAUGCCUAUGAAGACUCAAGAUUCCUACAGUGCUUAGUGAAGAUUCUGGCAAGGAAGGGUGCCUAACUGGGUGGAGGAUGAAGUUUUUGCAUCACCCGGAGAGCUGGCUGUUGAUAUUCUACGCUUGCAGUUACCAUGCUAUAGGCAGGUGGAAUGAGCGCUGACUGCCUUUGCAAAAGCUGCAGGAUGGUUUGAAUAUCGGCAGUCAUUUGGGAUUCAAGCCUAGAGAAGUAACAAAAAAUUAGUUAACAUAUGGUCAGGAAUGGGUAUACUUUUAACAUACUGAUUACAGACGCAUUCAAGAGGGACUUGCAGCUUACUCAUAAAGCAAGCCAUUGCUUAUUAUGACGUGACUGUAUCUUAAAUAGGAAAGAACAGAAGAGGGAGUACUGAGCCCUUCCAAAGCUAGCUAGCUCUUUCCUUUGCAGAGCAUUUUUGCAUGCUUGUCUCUGAUCUGAAUGCAUUAAGAAUGCACAUACAUUAAGCAUGAGUUCAUUGCUGUCCGUUUUGUUUGCAAAAAAAAAAUUAACCAGACAAGAUCCUUAGCUGUAAUUAACUGGAAUACCAGUAUUCUUGUCAUUGAGACUAAAUUGAUUUUUACUGGCUGAGGAUGUGACACAGUAGUUCUGAUGUAUCUGAUGAUUAAUUCUGGCAUUUCAAAAGCUAAAAGAAUGCAAUGAAAUGACUAGAAAACCACAUUUGUGUUUUUCUACAGUUUGAAAAAGUAGGAUAUAAGAUCAUUACUUAAAAAAAAAAAAAAUCUAGCCUAAGUCUCUUUACAGUGAACAGUUAUUCAGGCUUAUUCAGAGCUCAGAAUUAAUCUCAGCGUUUCUGAUGUUCAAAUUCAAUUGCUUUUUCUUUUUUUUUUUUCCUUUUGAUGACUUUGUGUAUGACUUCUGAAACUGUUAAAAAUA